rnacentral:tRNA from 1 species
GGGGUGGUGGCUCAGUGGUAGAGCUUGCCUAGCAUGUGUGAGGCACUGAGUCCAAUUCUCAGCACUGCA